UACGAAGGGGGCUAGCGUUGCUCGGAAUCACUGGGCGUAAAGCGCACGUAGGCGGACUUUUAAGUCAGGGGUGAAAUCCUGGAGCUCAACUCCAGAACUGCCUUUGAUACUGGAAGUCUUGAGUUCGAGAGAGGUGAGUGGAACUGCGAGUGUAGAGGUGAAAUUCGUAGAUAUUGGGAAGAACACCGGUGGCGAAGGCGGCUCACUGGCUCGUAACUGACGCUCAUGCACGACAGCGUGGGGAUCAAACAGG
rnacentral:rRNA from 1 species